UUACGGCCAUAUCACGUUGAAACAUCGAUUUCCGUACGAUCACCGAAGUUAAACAACGUCGAGUCCGGUCACUACCUAGAUGGGUGACCGCUUGAAAAUACCAGGUGCU